rnacentral:rRNA from 1 species
CCUACGGGAGGCAGCAGUGGGGAAUUUUGGACAAUGGGCGCAAGCCUGAUCCAGCUAUUCCGCGUGUGGGAUGAAGGCCCUCGGGUUGUAAACCACUUUUGUAGAGAACGAAAAGACACCUUCGAAUAAAGGGUGUUGCUGACGGUACUCUAAGAAUAAGCACCGGCUAACUACGUGCCAGCAGCCGCGGUAAUACGUAGGGUGCGAGCGUUAAUCGGAAUUACUGGGUUUAAAGGGUGCGCAGGCGGGAGAUCAAGUCAGCGGUAAAAUGUCGGGGCUCAACCCCGGCCGGCCGUUGAAACUGG